rnacentral:rRNA from 1 species
GAUGAACGCUGGCGGCGUGCCUAACACAUGCAAGUCGAGCGAUUUACUUCGGUAAAGAGCGGCGGACGGGUGAGUAACGCGUGGGUAACCUGCCCUGUACACACGGAUAACAUACCGAAAGGUAUGCCAAUACGAGAUAAUAUACUUUUAUCGCAUGGUAGAAGUAUCAAAGCUUUUGCGGUACAGGAUGGACCCGCGUCUGAUUAGCUAGUUGGUAAGGUAACGGCUUACCAAGGCGACGAUCAGUAGCCGACCUGAGAGGGUGAUCGGCCACAUUGGAACUGAGACACGGUCCAAACUCCUACGGGAGGCAGCAGUGGGGAAUAUUGCACAAUGGGCGAAAGCCUGAUGCAGCAACGCCGCGUGAGCGAUGAAGGCCUGGGUCGUAAGCUCUGUCCUCAAGGAAGAUAAUGACGGUACUUGAGGAGGAAG